rnacentral:rRNA from 1 species
AACGACUCUCGGCAACGGAUAUCUAGGCUCUCGCAUUGAUGAAGAACGUAGCGAAAUGCGAUACUUGGUGUGAAUUGCAGAAUCCCGUGAACCAUCGAGUCUUUGAACGCAAGUUGCGUCCGAGGCCUUUAGGCCGAGGGCACGUCUGCCUGGGCGUCACAC